GCCGGCGUAGCUCAGUUGGUAGAGCAGCUGAUUCGUAAUCAGCAGGCAGGCGGUUCGAAUCCGCCCGUCGGCUCCA
rnacentral:tRNA from 3 species